AUUGAACGCUGGCGGCAUGCCUUACACAUGCAAGUCGAACGGCAGCACGGGAGCAAUCCUGGUGGCGAGUGGCGAACGGGUGAGUAAUAUAUCGGAACGUGCCCAGUCGUGGGGAUAACGUAGCGAAAGCUACGCUAAUACCGCAUACGAUCUAUGGAUGAAAGCGGGGGAUCGCAAGACCUCGCGCGAUUGGAGCGGCCGAUAUCAGAUUAGGUAGUUGGUGAGGUAAAGGCUCACCAAGCCGACGAUCUGUAGCUGGUCUGAGAGGACGACAGCCACACUGGGACUGAGACACGGCCCAGACUCCUACGGGAGGCAGCAG
rnacentral:rRNA from 1 species